UGGGGAAUAUUGCACAAUGGGGGAAACCCUGAUGCAGCAACGCCGCGUGAAGGAAGACGGUUUUCGGAUUGUAAACUUCUUUUCUUAGUGAAGAAACAAAUGACGGUAGCUAAGGAAUAAGCAUCGGCUAACUACGUGCCAGCAGCCGCGGUAAUACGUAGGAUGCGAGCGUUAUCCGGAUUUACUGGGUGUAAAGGGAGCGCAGGCGGGACUGCAAGUUGGAUGUGAAAUACCGCAGCUUAACUGCGGAGCUGCAUCCAAACUGUAGUUCUUGAGUGGAGUAGAGGCAAGCGGAAUUCCGAGUGUAGCGGUGAAAUGCGUAGAUAUUCGGAGGAACACCAGUGGCGAAGGCGGCUUGCUGGGCUCUAACUGACGCUGAGGCUCGAAAGUGUGGGGAGCAAACAGGAUUAGAUACC
rnacentral:rRNA from 1 species